rnacentral:lncRNA from 1 species
AUUAAGUUUACAAUAAGCAUUUGGCCCAGCCCAAAUAUAUCUGAGUCCAAUACACCGACUACCUGCUGCCACGCACGCUCGUCUCUCCUCCUUUCCCCCCAAAUCUACCAAACCUUAUCUGUUCUUCUAUCCCUAAAUCGACCAGUCCUCUGUUCUCCUCCCUUUCCCAAAUCAACCAGGUCUUUCACUCGCUUCUCGCUGCUGCCAACCGCUGGCCGCCGGCGUUGCCAACUUCCGCGCCCUCCAUAGUGAGGGCCCUCCAGGCCGCCACGACGGGUGUGGGGUGUCUGCUGAUGUUUGCUGCUUCUUCUCCUUCCCUCACUACCUUCUCCGCUCGUGUUGCCUGCUGCCGCCGACUGAUAAAUUAAUCGGUGAACUGUUGUUGAAGGGCCGAAGGAGCAAGACUGCUGCAAGAGGAAAGUAUGUUUCAAAAUUAAUUAAAGAAAAAUGAUUCAAUGAUUUUCUUCGUAGACUUGCAUAAAGUUUUGGUUGCCGUGUACUUUUUGAAGUUACUAUCUCCGUCAGCCAUGUAUUAUGCCAAAUUUUGAUAGCCUAACCAUCCAUAUUUUUUGUGAUAUGCACAUCAUUUAUGAAGUACAGGUUCAGAUCCAUCAUUCAUUCAUGCUUUUUGGGCUUCGACUUUUUCUAGUAGUAUAUCAGACAGUCAGCCAUCUUCUGAAUCAGAAAAAGAGGUGACAGUGAUUUUUGAAUUUUUUGUGAGGUAACACUGGCGAAACAGCAAACCAUGGUCCAGGAAAGCAUAUAUGUAGUUAUUGGCCAUAUGCAGGCAUCUUUUGGUCAGUCUGGUGUGUUCUAUAGUUGUCGCCUUGGACAACUUUUGGCCAGGCCGAUGUAUUCUACAGUUGAGGCAAUGGUGCACUUUUGGCCAGUCUGGUGUAUUCUAUAGUUGUGGCAAUGGAGUGGUCAUUAUCCACAAUACCAGGUAUGUUGUUGCUACAAUGUAUCUAUGUUAACAUAAAUCGUGAGCACUGGAUAAUAGUAGUAAUUAUAUAUACACAAUGUAUAUUUUGUUCCAGUCUAUGCUAUGACAUUAUGAGCCGCAUCUAUUUUGUGCACAUUUUGUUUUGUAUUUGAAAUCCCCUCCCUCUUUGCUGCUUGUCAAGCUCAGACACUGGCAUAUAGGACAAAUUAACCAUACACAAUACAUGUACAUAUGAACUAAAAUACAAUGGGCAUCCUAAAGCUAACAUGGGAAAAUAAUGAAACAACCUGAAAGAAAGAAUGCAGCAAAUGGAAAGCAUAUAAUAAUGGUCUAUAAAAACCUAGCUCUUUUUUCGGCAAAAAGAAUCAGUUAUUUCUAGUUUCCUAAUUCUAGAGCUUCAUAUUUCCGGUUCUUGCAAUUUAUCUGCGAUAAUCUGGUAAAGUACAACAUGCACCAACUGAACAUUUGCUAGUAUAGCUAAAAGCUGAAGCUAUCCGACACAAGGACCUUCCAAUUUUCCAAGACGGUUAGUCACUAUGUGUGAACAAGGCCAGAGGACUAAAAUAUAAAAAGCAAGCUAAGGAUUCAUCAGCAGAUUUUUCCUGUGCUUGCUAUAUGUCUGAAACAAACAAUAGUCAAAGAGUGUACUUACGAACAGACGUAAGCAGACACCAUAUCAAUAGCUAACAGCAUCACACAGCAACCCGAUCACACAUCAAGAUGGAUUGAUGGAAAUGGAAAGAUAAAGUAUGCUCUGGCAGUAGAACCAAAAUUUCCUAACCUGU